GCGGACACAACACGGAAAAUCUACCAGGUCCAGACAAAGUAAAAAUUGACAGUUUGAGAGCUCUGUCUUGAUCUUUUGGGUAGUAGUGAAGGUCUUAGCUGGUAGAGUGUUUGCCUGCUUGAUUGUGCUAAAGAACAACUUUCCUCAUUGAAGAGCAGUAAUUGCAACGCUCUAUCUCCAACACUGCAGGGGCAAACAAUAUUACCCAACCCUCUCGGUGGGACCAGGAUCUUAUAUAUCCCUCCUCUCUAUAACUAGGCUCUAUUGGGUAAAUCUUAUAGUACGUAAGACUCUCAGCUCUGUUGACCGCUUGAUGUAUUCUGUGC
rnacentral:ncRNA from 1 species